rnacentral:rRNA from 1 species
UACGUAGGGGGCAAGCGUUGUCCGGAUUUAUUGGGCGUAAAGAGCGUGUAGGCGGUCAGGUAGGUCGGUUGUGAAAACUGGAGGCUCAACCUCCAGACGUCGAUGGAAACCGUCUGGCUAGAGUCCGGAAGAGGAGAGUGGAAUUCCUGGUGUAGCGGUGAAAUGCGCAGAUAUCAGGAAGAACACCCGUGGCGAAAGCGGCUCUCUGGGACGGUACUGACGCUGAGACGCGAAAGCGUGGGGAGCGAACAGG